rnacentral:rRNA from 1 species
GACGAACGCUGGCGGCGUGCCUAAUACAUGCAAGUAGAACGCACAGUUUAUACCGUAGCUUGCUACACCAUAGACUGUGAGUUGCGAACGGGUGAGUAACGCGUAGGUAACCUGCCUGGUAGCGGGGGAUAACUAUUGGAAACGAUAGCUAAUACCGCAUAAUAUUAAUUAUUGCAUGAUAAUUAAUUGAAAGUUGCAAUUGCACCACUACCAGAUGGACCUGCGUUGUAUUAGCUAGUAGGUGAGGUAACGGCUCACCUAGGCGACGAUACAUAGCCGACCUGAGAGGGUGAUCGGCCACACUGGGACUGAGACACGGCCCAGACUCCUACGGGAGGCAGCAGUAGGGAAUCUUCGGCAAUGGACGAAAGUCUGACCGAGCAACGCCGCGUGAGUGAAGAAGGUUUUCGGAUCGGAAAGCUCUGUUGUAAGAGAAGAACGGGUGUGAGAGUGGAAAGUUCACACUGUGACGGUAUCUUACCAGAAAGGGACGGCUAACUACGUG